rnacentral:rRNA from 1 species
UACGUAGGUGGCGAGCGUUGUCCGGAUUUACUGGGCGUAAAGAGCGCGCAGGCGGUCGAAUUAGUCGAGUGUGAAAGCCCCCGGCUCAACUGGGGAGGGUCACUCGAUACUGUUCGACUUGAAGACGGGAGAGGGACGCGGAAUUCCCGGUGUAGUGGUGAAAUGCGUAGAUAUCGGGAGGAACACCAGUGGCGAAGGCGGCGUUCUGGCCCGCUCUUGACGCUGAGGCGCGAAAGCCAGGGGAGCAAACGGG